UACGUAGGGUGCAAGCGUUUGUCCGGAAUUAUUGGGCGUAAAGAGCUCGUAGGCGGCCUGUCGCGUCGGCUGUGAAAACCUGGGGCUCAACCCCGGGCCGCAGCCGAUACGGGCAGGCUAGAAUUCGGUAGGGGAGACUGGAAUUCCUGGUGUAGCGGUGGAAAUGCGCAGAUAUCAGGAGGAACACCGGUGUGGAAGGCGGGUCUCUGGGCCGAUUACUGACGCUGAGAAGCGAAAAGCAUGGGGGAGCGAACAGG
rnacentral:rRNA from 1 species